rnacentral:sRNA from 1 species
GCCAGGUGUGGUGGCGCACGCCUGUAAUCCCAGUUUCUUGGGAGGCUGAGGCAGGAGGAUCUCGAGUUCAAAGCCAGCCUCAG